rnacentral:rRNA from 2 species
GGAUUAGAUACCCUGGUAGUCCACGCCGUAAACGAUGUCUACUUGGAGGUUGUGCCCUUGAGGCGUGGCUUCCGGAGCUAACGCGUUAAGUAGACCGCCUGGGGAGUACGGCCGCAAGGUUAAAACUCAAAUGAAUUGACGGGGGCCCGCACAAGCGGUGGAGCAUGUGGUUUAAUUCGAUGCAACGCGAAGAACCUUACCUGGUCUUGACAUCCACGGAAGUUUUCAGAGAUGAGAAUGUGCCUUCGGGAACCGUGAGACAGGUGCUGCAUGGCUGUCGUCAGCUCGUGUUGUGAAAUGUUGGGUUAAGUCCCGCAACGAGCGCAACCCUUAUCCUUUGUUGCCAGCGGUCCGGCCGGGAACUCAAAGGAGACUGCCAGUGAUAAACUGGAGGAAGGUGGGGAUGACGUCAAGUCAUCAUGGCCCUUACGACCAGGGCUACACACGUGCUACAAUGGCGCAUACAAAGAGAAGCGACCUCGCGAGAGCAAGCGGACCUCAUAAAGUGCGUCGUAGUCCGGAUUGGAGUCUGCAACUCGACUCCAUGAAGUCGGAAUCGCUAGUAAUCGUGGAUCAGAAUGCCACGGUGAAUACGUUCCCGGGCCUUGUACACACCGCCCGUCACACCAUGGGAGUGGGUUGCAAAAGAAGUAGGUAGCUUAACCUUCGGGAGGGCGCUUACCACUUUGUGAUUCAUGACUGGGGUGAAGUCGUAACAAGGUAACCGUAGGGGAACCUGCGGUUGGAUCACCUCCUUACCU